AGACACAAGAGGUAUGUGGCAGGGUCUACAGUCAAUCACAGAUUACAAAAAGAAAACCAGCCCAGUCACGGACCAGAAUGUCUUGCUCCCAGGCAGACUAAAUAACUUUUUUGCCCGCUUUGAGGACAAUACAGUGCCACUGACACGGCCUGCAACCAAAACAUGCGGACUCUCCUUCACUGCAGCCGAGGUGAGUAAAACAUUUAAACGUGUUAACCCUCGCAAGGCUGCAGGCCCAGACGGCAUCCCCAGCCGCGCCCUCAGAGCAUGCGCAGACCAGCUGGCUGGUGUGUUUACGGACAUAUUCAAUCAAUCCUUAUCCCAGUCUGCUGUUCCCACAUGCUUCAAGAGGGCCACCAUUGUUUCUGUUCCUAAGAAAGCUAAGGUAACUGAGCUAAAUGACUAUCGCCCCUUAGCACUCACCUCCGUCAUCAUGAAGUGCUUUGAGAGACUAGUCAAGGACCAUAUCACCUCUACCCUACCUGACACCCUAGACCCACUCCAAUUUGCUUACCGCCCAAAUAGGUCCACAGACGAUGCAAUCUCAACCACACUGCACACUGCCCUAACCCUUCUGGACAAGAGGAAUACCUAUGUGAGAAUGCUGUUCAUCGACUACAGCUCAGCAUUUAACACCAUAGUACCCUCCAAACUCGUCAUCAAGCUCGAGAACCUGGGUCUCGACCCUGCCCUGUGCAACUGGGUACUGGACUUUCUGACGGGCCGCCCCCAGGUGGUGAGGGUAGGUAAACAACAUCUCCACCCCGCUGAUCCUCAACACUGGGGCCCCACAAGGGUGCGUUCUGAGCCCUCUCCAGUACUCCCUGUUCACCCACGACUGCGUGGCCACGCACGCCUCCAACUCAAUCAUCAAGUUUGCGGACGACACAACAGUGGUAGGCUUGAUUACCAACAACGACGAGACGGCCUACAGGGAGGAGGUGAGGGCCCUCGGAGUGUGGUGUCAGGAAAAUAACCUCACACUCUACGUCAACAAAACUAAGGAGAUGAUUGUGGAC
rnacentral:lncRNA from 13 species